rnacentral:rRNA from 1 species
AUUGAACGCUGGCGGCAUGCCUUACACAUGCAAGUCGAACGGCAGCACGGGAGCAAUCCUGGUGGCGAGUGGCGAACGGGUGAGUAAUAUAUCGGAACGUGCCCAGUCGUGGGGGAUAACGUAGCGAAAGCUACGCUAAUACCGCAUACGAUCUAUGGAUGAAAGCGGGGGAUCGCAAGACCUCGCGCGAUUGGAGCGGCCGAUAUCAGAUUAGGUAGUUGGUGAGGUAAAGGCUCACCAAGCCGACGAUCUGUAGCUGGUCUGAGAGGACGACCAGCCACACUGGGACUGAGACACGGCCCAGACUCCUACGGGAGGCAGCAGUGGGGAAUUUUUGGACAAUGGGCGCAAGCCUGAUCCAGCAAUGCCGCGUGCAGGAUGAAGGCCUCGGUUGUAACGU